rnacentral:tRNA from 1 species
AGUCUUAUAUUUUAUGAAAAUUAUUAAAUUGCAAGUUUAAAGAAGGCUAUGUCCUAAGACUU